rnacentral:rRNA from 1 species
UAGGGAAUCUUCUGCAAUGGACGAAAGUCUGACCGAGCAACGCCGCGUGAGUGAAGAAGGUUUUCGGAUCGUAAAACUCUGUUGUUAGAGAAGAACAAGGACGUUAGUAACUGAACGUCCCCUGACGGUAUCUAACCAGAAAGCCACGGCUAACUACGUGCCAGCAGCCGCGGUAAUACGUAGGUGGCAAGCGUUGUCCGGAUUUAUUGGGCGUAAAGCGAGCGCAGGCGGUUUCUUAAGUCUGAUGUGAAAGCCCCCGGCUCAACCGGGGAGGGUCAUUGGAAACUGGGAGACUUGAGUGCAGAAGAGGAGAGUGGAAUUCCAUGUGUAGCGGUGAAAUGCGUAGAUAUAUGGAGGAACACCAGUGGCGAAGGCGGCUCUCUGGUCUGUACCUGACGCUGAGGCUCGAAAGCGUGGGGAGCAAACAGG